rnacentral:sRNA from 1 species
GAAAUUAUGUCAGCUUUGGCGUCUUCAAGUUGUAUGGGGACAACCAUUUUGACAAUGUACUCCAGGCCUUUGUCAAAAUGCUGCUGUCAGUGUCCCACAGUGACUUGCUACAAUACCGGAAACUGAGCCAAUCUUAUUAUCCACUCCUGGAAUGUCUCACUCAGGACCACAUGAGCUUCAUCAUCAACUUAGAGCCUCCUGUACUCAUGUAUGUUCUCACAUCUAUCUCAGAGGGACUCACUACUCUUGAUACAGUUGUCUCCUCCAGCUGCUGUACCAGUUUAGACUACAUCGUCACCUACCUCUUCAAGCACAUAGCAAAGGAGGGCAAGAAGCCACUUCGAUGCAGAGAGGCUACCCAGGCUGGUCAGAGACUAUUACAUUUUAUGCAGCAAAACCCAGAUGUCCUGCAGCAGAGCUAUCAGGAGCUAUAAAAAUCAUACUUCAGUAGGGACUUAAGCUGAAAGAACAUUCACCCUUUUCCUCAAUCAGUCAGUCAAUCAAUGAAAAUUGCUUUUGUAUAGUGCUCUUCGUGACAUGCAUCCCAAAGUGAAUUACAGCAAAAGGGAAAUCAUCUGCUCUUUUUUCAUUUCUGUGUUUAGACUGAAAUGAUAUUGCUCAACAUUUUGACAUACUAUACAAGACAUCUUUCAUACUUAAGAUUCCAUUCCAUAAUACUAAGUAGGAGAAAAUGCAGUCGCAUAUUUAACUGAUGUUGAGAUUUUGGCCUACAGGAACCUUAGCAAGACUCUUACAGUCAAAAACACUUAAGCAGAUGAAAUACAGUCAUAUCUCUUGUUGUCUUAAAAAGAAUAGUCAGAUUUUCUAAUGUUAAUAAAGACAUUUCUAGUGAUCCUUAAAUAAAAAGUAUGCUCUUUAUGUAAC